CAGAAUCACUGCUAUCUAUUGGCUCAAUGGGAUCUUCUUCUGCCUGGAGGCCAUUGUAUAUGCUCGCAAGGAUGUGACUAUAGUACAGUAUUAAUAAACUUGUUGCAUACUGUAUUUAACGUAACUGGCAAUCGGGCAGCAGAGGAAAGGGUCUAUAUCUGCAGGCAGCCUGACUUAGAAUGAAGCAAAGCAUUUCUAAGCUUACUCUUGUACAGAAAAGCAAAGGACUGUCCAUAGGUGCUUGGAAGUGACAAAACAUACACUAGUGACAGUUGUGGGCACCUUCCAACAUUCUGAAAAUCACUGAUUUCUGCCAAAUAGCGCCCCUGAGACCCAGCAUCCAAGCAUGGGAGAUGAUCACCCACAAUCCCAUAAAGAGAGAGAGAGAGAGAGAACCAUUGGCUCAGUUGUGAUUAUGUGACAUUCAGUGUCACGUACUCCUCGUAUUGCAAGAAAUCACUCAUUUAUCAAGUUAAAAUUUAUUAGAAAUGUUUGCUCAUCUUGCAGAACACUCACAGAACAAGUUACUCGCAAUCCAAGGUUUCACUGUACUUAAGAGACAAUCUGUUUUCAAGCACUUUGGAAGAAUCAUUAUAACGAUCAACAAUAAAUAUACUAAUUCAAAUUAUUUUUACCUAGUCAUUAGCAACUUGGCAAAUAAUUAAGUCAACCUGAAUAAAAUAAGAAAUAUUUUUAUUUCCAUUACUGGUAUUUUAUUCCAUUUCUGGUAUUUUAAUCUAUUUCAGAUUGAGCUUCCUCUCAACUGCUCUAGAAUAGUAUACAGGUUCUGAGGAUGCAGCAAGAACUUUAAAUUUUACAAGUUUAUGCAUAUGACAUGAAAAACAUGUGGGAUGAUAUAACUGGUUUAUCCUAAAAUGAACUUAAACUAAUUUCACUAU